UUGCUUUUUGAAUUACGCAGAAUGUGCAGAGAAUCAAAAUAUCAUAAGUCAUUUAACAAAAUGAUAUUUUAGGCAAAAAGGCAUCACCUUAGACCCCUGAUGAAAGAAUUUGAGAGAGAGAGGGCAUAUAUGGUUGCCAAGAAGAGGAAGAGAGCAAUUCCAUUUCCUGUAAAAACGAAGAAACAGAGCAUUAACAAACACACAUGCAUAAAUCUCAAAGGAAAUUGGUAAGAAAUAAGCCCAAUUGAGAAAAUAAUCAGAAAAUCAGAGAGGAAAGUUCUGAAACUCAAUAAAGACUCACUCUUUCUCCCUCACUCUUUCUCUCUGUACCCGUUCCCCUCAACCCCACCCCCAUACUUUUCCCCAUCUUUCUCUCUCUCUGCAACCAACGUCAGUGGACAGAACCCA
rnacentral:lncRNA from 1 species